rnacentral:rRNA from 1 species
UACGGAGGGUGCAAGCGUUAUCCGGAUUUACUGGGUUUAAAGGGUGCGUAGGCGGGCCUGUAAGUCAGUGGUGAAAUCUUCCCGCUUAACGGGAAAACUGCCAUUGAUACUAUAGGUCUUGAAUUCAGUUGAGGUGGGCGGAAUGUGUCGUGUAGCGGUGAAAUGCUUAGAUAUGACACAGAACACCGAUUGCGAAGGCAGCUCGCUAAACUGACAUUGACGCUGAGGCACGAAAGCGUGGGGAUCAAACAGG